AGAGAGGAGAGCAACAGCUGUGACAACAACAACAACAACAACAACAACAACAACAACGACAGCAACAACAGCAGCAGCAGCUCAGGAUGACUCAGAAACAAAAAGAGCAGCUGAUGGAUGUGGGCGACUGUUGGCUGAGCUGAAACUCUCAGCCCUUCAUCACUGAACAGUUUAUCAAUCUGCUGAUGAUUAGAGCUGCCAUCAUUUCACAGGAAAGAAACUUAAUCAGCAACUAUUCUGAUGAUUGAUUUGAUCGUUUUAGUUAAUUUUCUUCUCAGGUUCCCGCAAAAUUAUAGAACCCAUCUGAUUCAUUUUUACGUUCAGCAAAUUAAAAACGAAUUAGUGAAAUAUCAGUUAUCAAUACUACAGUUAUAGGCAGGUUUAGCACUUUUUAACAACAAGGUGAUUCAAAGUGUUUUACAUCAGAUAUAAAAGGCAUCAAGACAAAGCGUUAAAGCAACAAAGGAAAACUGAAAAUGUUUCUGUAGCGUCACAGUAAUGGAGUGUGAUCAUGAGAUUUGGUGUCACAGUGAAAAUCAAAAGUACCAGUUUGAUUAUAUUUAAGAUUUAAAUCCAACAGCACGAGGAAAAUAUGAUAAAAUGAUGACAUCUGCAGCAUCUGAGGGUCACACCUCUGAUCUACACUGACCAUGUUGAGCCAACACGUCUUUUUAUGGCAAGUUUUCACUCAGUUUCAGGAUGUUCUUGUGCAGAGGCUCGUCUGUCAGUCUGUGUCUGUCGGUAAACAGAGGAUCACUCAGAGUUGGAGAAGGAUCCUCAGAGCUGCUGUUAAAUCAUCCCCAAACAAAGCAGCGAGAGGAUUAAUCUGUUUAAUCCACAUUCUCUGUACGGAUCUACACCGACGCCAGGACCCACGGUGGUAAUCUGGACACGCAACAGGACACGCAAACCAUCUGGAUUAGAGAUAUCUGCAAAGCAAGAUUAUACAACGAAAGUCUGUUAUUACAAAAGAGGAACAAAGAGGCUGCACUGGAGACAAUCAUCUGCAUAGUUCUGUUAUCCAGAAGCAUUAAAGUCCAGCAGUCUGGUCUCAGCUGAAUUCCUCUGGUGGUUUGAAGUUUAAUGCACGAUAACUUUGAUCAGUUCACUCAAUUAACUUUAUUAAUCAAAGCUGAGAGGUUCUGACAGAUCAGGAACCACAACCCUAACCUCAUUAAACCACAUCAUCUACAGACAGAUGGACGACAACGAUCAGAACCAGAAGCUGGAUCCAGAGAAAAAUGUUCAAUCAAAAUGGAUGUUGGUUGGUUGGCUGGAGAUAUUUUUUAGCUGCGGGAAUCAUUUUCAGUCUUUCUAAGUUCUCCUGGUUUUCAGAGACUUUAACUUUUAGUCUCUUGGCGUUAUGACUUUAGCAGAUUCUUUCACAUCCAAAAUCACUUUCGGGACUCUCAGUCUUUGACCUGUCAGAGAUCCACUCAGACCCUCAGUAUCUGUGACUUUGUAAUGUCUCAGAUGUGUCGGCUCAGAUUUAACGCUUCAUAAAUUUGUGGGAACCACUUUAAAAAGAACAGAGCAGAUUCUCUCAGUGUUGGAGAUCAGCUCCACAGAGGCUCAUGUAGAGAGGCUGAUCGCUUACAGAAGCUUUAAAUAUGAGCUGUCAUCUGAAGCAUAUGGCAGCGGCUGCAUGUGGUCAGAGCACUAAAUCACAGAGGAGCUCUGGCUGCCGUCCCAGUACGAAGGGUGGAGGCCCAGACUGGGAGAGAGCGGGGAGACUGGGCGGCAGCUCUGUACGCUACCUGACAGGGACGACUGACAGACUCAGAGUCUGAUGGUUUCCUGGUUAAUUACAAACACUGAGCUCUCUGGGUGAUUUAUCUCCAGACUGUCUGAAGUUGUUGACUUCAUUCAGCAGAGUCUGAUGAUGUGGGACCUGGACCUGAGUCAGCCUGCUGCUGGCUCAUUUAUGGUCAGAGGUGGACCAACAUCUGUGAUGAAGAGUUUGGUUCCUCAGAAGAUACAGAUUCAUUUUACUUUUACAAGUUUGACUCAUUAAAAACCACCGAGCUGAACCAGAGGUUUAUAAAGAGAAUUAACUGCUCAGUGUGAGCAGAUAUGUUCAUUUAACAUCAGGAGCCUGGGACUCACAACCUCCUGAACUCAGAAUUCAAAAGAUGAUUCUGAUAAGUUCUGAGUCAGACACGAGGUUCGGGUCCUUCUGGACUUGGACUCAUCUGAGUCACUGACACAUUCACGUGACCGAAUCUUAAAAGACUUGAGACUUGCUAAUUGAACUUGGACCUGAAUGCAUCACCUCAGACUGAUGUGUCACUUUCUGACCAAACAAUCAAGAAAACUAUCUGCAGAUGAAUCAAUAAUGAAAAUAAUUAUUAUUUAAAACUGCUGUUUGACUUAAAACCAGUAAAGUUUGUACAGUAAUCAGCUCUUCUUCUUCUUCUUCUACUUCUUCUUCCAAUAAUUCACUGAUUAAUAGAUAAUUUGUUAGGAACUGUCUCCAUCGAAGCAGGUCCAGUAUCGACUACAACAGGUUCUCCAUCCUCCUGGUUUUCUAAAAGGACUCUGAGUCAGAAUCUAAACCUUUAACACAGAAAUAAACAAGGUAAAGUCUUAUUAUCCCAUCGCAGGUGAACUGUCCGUCUGCAACCAAUGACCUCCUCCUUCACCAUCAAUCAUUUUCUAUAAUAACUGAGUUAUGGUUCAAUGUGUAAAUAUCAGUGAAAUGUCUCUUCUAAUGUCUCGUUUUACCUGAGCAGCUGAUAAACAAAGAUACUGAACUGAUUAUUACAGAAAACAAAGAAAGAUAAGGUUAAAACAGGAAAUUCCUUUGGCUUUGAACUUGUUGUAAAUUAAUUUUCUAUCAUCUAAUCGAUUGAUCCUCCUCGGUGCUUCUGGGUUUGCAGGAGUCAGAGGAAAUGAUGAACCUGCCAUGAGGAGGUCAGGAGGUUAAAUCAGUCAUGGUGGAACUCCUUUAAAAACUGAGGCCGUAGACCCUGAGUCCCGCAGACAGCAGCAGCAGCUGUGUGUCCUCUCUGUCAUUUAAAUCUCAGUUGUUGUGUUAAACUUUGUGUUGCAGCAGCAGCAGCAGCUCGGGCCUCUGCAGGAGCCCAGACCUGCUGCUGCCUUCACUGUCUUCAUCACAGUGGACGUGUACCGGGCUGCAGGAUGCUGAUCCGGUCUUCUGCCGGUCCACAGUCCUCAGACUGAGACCCGGGAGCUGGUUAACGGCUCUGAGCGUGUUUUCCUGACAGUAAACAAACCGUCGGUCUCCGGCGGAGGAGCCGUGAUGCUGCGAUUUGAGACGAUGCUACAACCUCACGCGAGAUCAUUUUAUUCUAAUGAGAAUAACAAACAAAAGCAGCAGAGAGGAGGAGAUAAAAGCAGA